rnacentral:rRNA from 1 species
GUUCGGUUAAGUCCGCUAACGAGCGCAACCCUCGCUGUAUGUUACAUGUGUCAUACAGGACCGCCGGUAUCAAGCCGGAGGAAGGUGGGGAUGACGUCAAGUCCGCAUGGCCUUUAUGUCCGGGGCUACACACACGCUACAAUGGUCGGUACAAUGGGUUGCUAAGCCGCGAGGUGGAGCCAAUCCCCCAAAGCCGGCCUCAGUUCAGAUUGCAGGCUGCAACUCGCCUGCAUGAAGCUGGAGUUGCUAGUAAACGCGCGUCAGCUAUAGUGCGUUGAAUACGUUCUCGGGCCUU